rnacentral:rRNA from 1 species
UACAGAGGUCCCAAGCGUUGUUCGGAUUUACUGGGCGUAAAGGGCGCGUAGGCGGCCUGUGCAAGUCAGUUGUGAAAUCUCCGAGCUUAACUCGGAACGGUCAACUGAUACUGCUCGGCUAGAGUGCGGAAGGGGCAACUGGAAUUCUUGGUGUAGCGGUGAAAUGCGUAGAUAUCAAGAGGAACACCGGUGGCGAAGGCGGCUUUCUGGACAGUAACUGACGCUGAGGCGCGAAAGCUAGGGGAGCAAACAGG